rnacentral:lncRNA from 1 species
GAAAAAUGAUUUGAUGAUGCUCCAUUUUUUCUCUUUAUGGUGAAUGAGGGUGAAAAUGGGUUUUAGAGUGGAAGAUGGUGAAAUGGGAUUUUAAUGGUGGAAAUUGGAAAUGGAAGUAGGAUUAGUAAUGGGAUUUUGGUUGAGUAGAAUUUUAAUGGGAUUUGAGUGGGUUUUAAUGGAGGUCUAAGAUGGAGAAAAUGGGGAUUUUGGAAGUUUUAAGAUGAGAUUUUGAGUGAAAAUAGAGGUUUGGUUCGCUUCUGCCCAAGAUAGUGCUCAGACUCCAUGGCGCCCGCCAUCUUUGUAAUUCAAGUUGGGCCGGAUUUUGUUG